rnacentral:misc_RNA from 1 species
GAAAAAGCAAUAAAGAAGGAUGAAGAUCAGCAAACAUUGACAUAAUGUUCUCUUCGCCAGACCUUUCCAAGAGGUUUGAUCUGAAGGGAAGUACUAUGCAUGUAUUCCAAUAAUUGCAAUCAGAACCUGAAUAGGCCAAUCUGGUAUAGAAGUCAAUGUCACAAGGAGGAACAAUAGUAGGCAAAACAAAACCUAUCUGGCCAUUAG